CACAACACAAUGGAGGAACUUGAAGCUAUGCUGUACUUUUUCGUCAGGAUUUGGUUUUGCAUUAACCGUUUAUUUUAUUUUCAAAUUUGCUAGUUAACGUUACUCUUUCUUGCUCUUGUGGUAUUUAAAAAUGGCAGUUGCUGCUGGUGAACAAACAUGAAAAUGGGAUGAUGUAUUUGUGACGAUUCCCAUUGACUAAUCAAUGGUCUGCAGUAUCGUAUUGCAGCACGGAUAGUACUUUUGGUACCUACCCCAGAGCAGUAGCUAAAAUCGGCACAGGUCAGUUGGCAGUGGAGAAAGCAGAACAAAGCGGGAGCACGAAUUCCGGUAAGGCACGGCACUUGGUUUUGAGGUGACCGAUGGGCCACUCAGGAGUACAUCCUGGACACACUGGUCCACAGUAACCAGAAUUGUGCCCACAUGGCUACACACCUCUCCAUUGCUGCAUAGAUCCAGAUUCCAUUAUCAACCGGAUAAAUGCCAGCAUUGAACAAGCUUAUCCAAAUGCUAUUGUCAAAUGUAAUGUUAGCUGUAUUGUUUAGCUAGCUAGCGAACUACCAGCCAUACUUACCGUGCCAUGCAGGUGCACUGCCCGCCCGGGACUUCGCCAGACUUCGUCGCAACGAUCCAGGCGGAGUAGCACUUGGAAAGCGCCUGACCUGCCUCGAUUUCCCCGUAAACAACACAUGUAUUUCCAUUCUUGUGGGUUAGGAUGCUUUUAACUUUUCCGGAAUGAAAAUAGUUAUAGGCAUCCAAGCUGCGAUAUACCUUGAACGUCUCCCUUGUAUAUAUACAUUGCCUCUCGACUACGUAUUCAAAGAUGUUUACCUGACUGACCUCCGGUAAAUCAGACUGGUCCGUAGAAAAACUGUCUCAACAUUUUGUUGAAAGGGUCUGGUAGUGUAACGGUAUCACACGUUUGGCCAAGUAACGGUUCUUUUCUUUGACUGGUAACCCCAAAUAAUACAUAGUUUUAACUAGCUAGCUAACGUAAUUUACUUGUUAUUUAUUUUGCUUGUUAUCAGAAAUAGUCUAGAGGGACUCUGUUGUUAUUGAUUGUUUGCGGAAGUCUGCCGGAAGUUUGGGCCAUAACAACGCACAUGCGCAGUAACGUUUGUUUAUGUUGUUACCGUUGAAAGCGUCUAUAAUUCUAUUUCCGGGCCAUGGCAGCCAUCUUAGGGUGGUGCCACAUGCAGAAGUAUCAAAUUUAGAGCCCAACUGAUAUAUCAGACGGCCGAUAUAUCGGGCCGAUAUUUGCAUUUUUGGACCAUAUCUGUAUCGGUAGUCAAAGACGAUAUGUGGCCAAUAUGUAGGACCGAUAAUUUUUUUUUUUUUUAACACUGACACAUGGCGCUCCUAGCACUCUAUCUAGUGUUUCUCACUGCCAACAACAUCAAUAAGGUUCAUGUGACCUGGAACCUUCACUCAGUCAGAGAGCAGCGCUGGAGGUAGACUGACUGACUGAAACUGACAAGGAAGAAUAAGAUGGUUGAAAAGCGACAGCGAAUGGGCAGUAAGGUGUGGGACUACUUCUGCAAAGAUGAUAUGACAGAAUCAGGCAGCAAGCACAACAAGAGGUGAAUAUCAAUGAAUGUCAACAACUGACAGCAGUAUGGGUCAAUGGACUGGGGCAGCAAGCAUAUCAUAAUGUUCAUGGUGCGCAAAUUGAGACUGUUGAUUCUUACAAAUAUUUACAUAUAUACUUCCCCCUUACCUCUCGACAUUAAUCAUGCUGAAGGUCAAUAACAAUUCCACAAGAUCUGAUUAUUUGAUUUUAGACACACCAUGUGUGAAAACCAAGUUUGGUCAGUAUUGUUUUAAAUUCUUUGCCCCUUUUAUCUGGAAUUCUUUUCAAGACGUACAAGCGCAUAAACUAACAUCCCUUGUCCUGUUAAAUAAUUAAAAGAUUAUUAUACCGAUUUUUCAAAUUCUGUAUGUAAAUGUUUUGAUUGAUUGUAUGCUGUCUGUUUUUUAACUGAACUGUAUCUGUCUGUUUCUAUGCCUGUAUGUGUUUCUUACCUAGUAUGUAUAUAGGUCUCACUUGAAAAAGAGAUUCCAAUCUCAAUGUGAUCACCUAUUUAAAUAAAGGAUAUAUAAUAAUGUGUUGUCAUUGGAAAUCCACUUGCAAAUAAGCAUUUUAUUGUUCUGUCUAUGCUUGUAUGCCAGUACAUAUGAGAACAAACAUCCUUGAACCUUAACAGAAAUAUUCCACCCUAGAAGACAAUUUGUACAGUGAAAAUCACAUACACCUGAUCAAUAACAAUACACCAUCCUGUAAACAUUGUUUUACAUUACAUGGUGCACAAUAUUCCACUCAUUUGGAGCAGAUAUUGUGUGUUUUGUUUGUUUCUAUGUAUCAUAUGU